rnacentral:misc_RNA from 1 species
AACCAUUCUCACCUGCGGCUAGACCUGCGGAGGGAUCAUUACAGAGUUCGUGCCCUCGCGGGUAGAUCUCCCACCCUUGUGUAUUUUCUACAUCUUGUUGCUUUGGCAGGCCGUUGGUUCGCCAACCACCGGCUCGCGGGCUGGUGCGUGCCUGCCAGAGGACCUCUCAAACUCGGUUUGUUAGUGUCGUCUGAGUACCAUAACAAUCGUUAAAACUUUCAACAACGGAUCUCAGAUCGG